CGUCAUUUACGGCAUGCUAUUUUUGGAAUUGAAUGUAUGUCGUUAUACAUACGCAUAUAACUCCAUUUGAUAUGUAGUUAUGUCGUUCAGAUAUUAGGCAGUAUUUUGUUCGCUCACAGUUUCCGUUAAGCUUCUUAAUAAAAAUUUUUGUCACACAGUACUUUUAUCGGUGUACGAUAAAAAGCGGAGAAAUUUACUGUUUUUCAACGCAGAAUAAAUUCUCGGACAACACUUAGAAGUGUUUUUUUUAAAAACUGGUUUGAUAUGUACUGUUAAAUUUACUCUAUCAAAUAAGAAAUUUAAUAUUCUCCACCUCUGCGUAAUUUCAUAGCCAGAGGUAGAUCCAGUGCCGCGUCAGCGCAAUUCUCGCACAACCUUCACUUUUCCGAUCUUAGGAAAAUGUGCGUCAGAAAAAAAACUCGGCAUCCAGAGGGUUAACUUUGAUUUGAUGAAUAUCAAAUUAGAUAUUUAGUGAUCGUAACACUCACACACACACACACACACACACACACGCACACGCACAUUGUAUACACUUUAUAGCUACUUGUGAUCAGUGCACAUAUUUUUAUACCUUUAGAUUGUGCAGUUUCAUAGUGGUUAGUAAGAAUAUUUUGUGAAUUUAUACUUGUUUUAUCACAAAACAUGUGAAUGAGUGAAUGUCGUCUCAUACUGCAGUCAGCAAUAUUGCAGCUAUAUGAAGGCAGCCUGUAAACCAGUAAUUGAUACGCACACCAUCCUAGUAAAUAAAACAUUCGCUCGCCAUGCCCAUUUCUGGUGUCCCCGUCGUGAUUUUGCUGGGAUAUUGCCAAAAGAUGCGUAAAUCCAUGCUCUCUCAAUUCAACAUGCCAUGCCUUGACAGACAAAACGAAAUACAAAAUAUAACAUUUAUACUUACAAUUUUGCAAUGCAGUGUGCUUCAUCAAUGAAAAUUGCCAUCAAAAUCUUCUCUUUAGUCAGGCUGUGUUCCAAGAACUGUCUCUGGACUUGCAAAUAUUAUUAUGUCAGUGUUACCAGAUUGAAUAUCCUGAAUUGAUAUUUGGUCCAUUACAUGUACAAGAUCAUCAUCAUCAUUAGGCGUAGGGUCAUGUUGACCCUUCAAAUAAACAGAUUUCAUGAAUAGAACACUUUUCUGUUUCUUUUGUUAUUAGUGCCACCAAGGGUGAAAAAACCAUCACAGUAGCAUGGUUGGAGUUAUUAAGUUUCUUAAACACGAAUGGUGCUAAUUCAAAAGUAAGUGAUUUUCCUGAUCCUGUUGGAGAAAAAAAAGGACAUCCUUUCCUCUGAGGUAACUUACAAUCACUUGUCUUUGAUGAUUCCUGAAGUGAUCAAUUAUGUAACUGCAUUACCUUCCAUACCAACAGUUAUACAUGUAGUUAAGUUAAAUAGAGGGCGUACAUACUUAAAACACAACAUCAAUCCUUUGUUCCGUUCAGCAGUGUGUCAGAUUCAUGAUGACCACAUGUGUGGAGAUCAGCCAUCCAAGGUCACCCUGGUAAUCUCCCCCCCCCCCCCCCCCCACACACACACACACAACAUUUACGCUUCUUACAGUAAACUAGAUGGUGGGAGCACUACCAGUGCUAGACUGUCAUCUGAACAAGAUCAAAUAGGAAGGGAAUUUUAAAUACUAGCCGCUAUUUCGACCGGUCCUCUCCCCAAAAUGACAUGACAGUGGAAUAGAGCUAGCUUGAGGUGACUAGACUUGCUUUUUGUAUGCAUUACUAGAUGAUUUUUUUAAAUGAAAUAAAUAUAUUCCACGGUCAUUGGUGCAGGACUAAUUGUGUAUAUCACCUGAAUUUUGGUCAAUACCUGAAAUACUCAGUCGCCAAUACAGCCCCUAUUUCAUAUUAGGUUAUGAAAAUACAUGUCGGUUGGAGCCUGAAGCCUGAAGUAGAAUUUAGGUUAUUACUCGGAUGAUAUACAUGUAAGGCAGAAAAUUGAUGAACUUCUUUAUUAUGAAGAACACAAUGUUUGGGACUAAUAUCAUCAGUUGAAGGAGUAACGUUCUGUUCCACACAAUGCGUUUCACUUCUGAAUGUUUUUCUAAGAGUUGAUACAUACACUUGCCUUGUAUAUAUGGUUGAUGUACGUCGAGUGUCUCAGAAACGCGGGAUCUGCAGGUUUUAGAGCUGAAUACAGUUGUGAUUCAACGAAUUCUUUUUUUUCUGACUCUUCCUCUUAUUUCGUUUUUCAGCUUAGCAUUGUGUAUACACAACGUAAUUAACGGAUUCUGACAUCAGCCACAUAUCUCGGACCACCCCACGAGUCUCUCUUAACGUUAGAACCGUUCAAUUCACGUUCCGCUUGGUGUUGCCACACCUGUCCGCCAUCUGCUGUUGAGAUACUGUAACGGUUCUCGUCUGAAAAGAGGAUUUCUCCACUGCUGGUGCUGUGCUACCCACUGAAGACGGUCCAGGAAACAAAGAAGAAGACUGAAAGGAUACCACUGGGAGUGCUUCAAAAAACGAACAAUUCAACGACCAGAUGACUGACAACAUAGCGGAGUUUCUUCACCAGUUCGUUCCUGGCCACAGUGAGGACCUCAGUGACCGUUCUCCAUCACAGAAGGUGCUCAGCGGAGGGGACUACCUCACCCUUGAGAGGCAGAAACAAGCCAAUCAUGCACUUACGAGAUGGACCUACACCAAGUUCCAGAUUACAAGGGCUUGUCCCAAAGAUGGAAGAGAUCCAUAACGAAGCUGAAUUUCUAAAGGUUAUAUGGAAACACUUGUACAGCCUCCUCUAACAAGUCUGUUGGCACUCUGCAUGCUGCAAAGGAGCACAAUAAAUGCGGUGAAUGUUACUCAGGAUCCUCAUGACAACUUUUACCCAUGCUCUGAAUUCAUGGACAAGGUCACCACCGCCUACAUCGUAACUGGGGGACUACAUUACUUCCAAAUGGAACACCUCACUUCUGUCCCAACGUCAAGUUACAUGGGUGCUGUUGGCAAUCCAUAUAAAAUGAUUGAUUAUUUUCUAGGUCAUGCAGCAAAACAGUUUGUAGACAAGCACGUCUUACCGGAGGUUCCUCAACAGCCAGGUCAUGGUCUCCAAAUCAAACACACUAGCCUGCAGGUACUGUGGAAAACUGUACCAGAGACCAAAAGCUCUCCGCAAACACGAAGUACGUUUGCAUGGAUAUUCUGAUCCGGAAUAUAAUGCUGAAAACAAUCAGGAUUCCACAUCUUCAGCAGAAUCAAGAUCAUCUAUUUAUCACUACACCCGUCUGUCUCUCAUGCUUGGGCUUCUUCGAAUAAAUCACAACGAUUCCAUUCACAUGGGAGAUGGUGGCAGCAUGAUGAGACUAGUAAAGUGGUUCUGUUUAUACUACAAGGCAAGCAAAUGUCCAAAGUAUGCAUAUGGUCUCCUUUGAAACACAGGCAAAGGCAUAUGCUCUCCUAUAUGAACGGCAGGCUUUAUAGAUUGAUAUGGAACCGCACAGUCAACCAUCAAGGCAGAGAAGACACCAAUCAUCCCAUCGACCUUGACUUGGAGCAUUGCAACAGGGCUUUCAAAGAUGAUGUACACACAUACAAGGGGAGGUACACAGAUAAAAGACGAUUCUCAAAGUCAGCAGAAGUGCGCUGUCAAUGGAAGAAUUAUGCCAAAAAUACGACAAAUUGGCAUUCCGCAAGAAAAGUUCGGGAAGGCAUGGAGUUGUUGAUCCUUCUUGGUGAUAUUCUUAAACUUGUAGAACAAUUCCAUUCCUAUGCAGCUCUAUUCAAUGAGGCCAACAAGCCACUGCCACAGAGAAUUCAAGAACAUGCUGAGUGACAUCCAAAAUUGGAUUUCAGAAAGUCUUAAAGUCUUCAGUAGCCGCACAUACUAUAACAUCUGAACCUUUUUUCCCGAUGUGUAAUUCAGUGUCACAUGAUUAAAACGAGACCCUGUUGCAAAGUCGCUAUCACUGUAUGUUUCAUGAUCUUCAUGUUCUGAGUCUGAGUGAGAUGAUGAGCUAUCACUCGAGUCAAGGGAAGUUUUGUACAACUCAAGAAUAUCACAUCUACGUUCACUACAUGGGGUAUUGCAUGUCCAUGAGUCUCUGCAGUCACCGAGACACUUGCAAGAUAUGGCACAGUUGUCCAUAGCACUCAUGACUUCAGUAAGCUCAACUCGUCGACAUACGUUGGUUCUGACAUACUGUUUCAUUUCAUCCGAAAUAUUCCGCCUGCCACUGAGACAUUGUCUAAAUUUCAUGAGAAGAGCAUGUGCCUGCUUUUCUGGAUCCCUGCCUGCUCCGUCCUUGUCUCUUGAAUAUAAUCCUCAACAUUAUUGGCUGGACCAUAGUGGAUGACGGUUUCCACACUUUGUAAGUCCCAAGCUGAAUGGUGUUGAGCAAUGGACUAUCAAGGGACUAUCAUCCUCUUGAAACCAUUUGGAUCCAUGAAGGACUGGGACACAUAUUUCUUCACUUCCCUGUUUUCCUUCUCAUUCAUACAUAUUCUGUAUGUUGUUAUGCAUGAUUGAUGUUGAACUUUAAUUGAAACUUUAGCUUGAAAAUUGGCCGAUUUCUUUUAUGAAAUUUAACUCCUUAUAAGAAUAAGAUCAACAUAUGCAAAAACAAUUGUUGUUAGAUGAUUAUUUUUUUGUAACUGAUCAACAAGAUCAACUUUAGUGUUUUAGUGUUUUAACUUAGCUAAUGUAAUGUAAUACAGUGGAUGUAUGCAUUCCUUUUUCAUAAGGGCAUGAACAUAUAUUACAUAAUGCCUCUACCUGGGACUGCGGCCAAACUUACAAAAUUAACCCUUGUUUGAGAGUAACAAGUAUCAAGUUCAUGAUGAUUGUAGAAGUGAUUGUAUGUAUUCAUAAAUGUGACACAUGCACAUUUUGAAAUGUUAAUAUUUGUGCUUUAACUUUGAUUUGAUGAAUAUCAAAUUAGAUAUUGUAUACACUUUAUAGCUACUUGUGAUCAGUGCACAUUUUUAUACCUUUAGAUUGUGCAGUUUCAUAGUGGUUAGUAAGAAUAUUUUGUGAAUUUAUACUUGUUUUAUCACAAAACAUGUGAAUGAGUGAAUGUCGUCUCAUACUGCAGUCAGCAAUAUUGCAGCCAUAUGAAGGCAGCCUGUAAACCAGCAAUUGAUACGCACACCAUCCUAGUACAUAAAACAUUCGCUCUCCAUGCCCAUUUAUGGUGUCCCCGUCGUGAUUUUGCUGGGAUAUUGCCAAAAGAUGCGUAAAUCCCUGCUCUCUCAAGUCAACAUGCCAUGCCUUGACAGACAAAACGAAAUACAAAAUAUAACAUUUAUACUUACAAUUUUGCAAUGCAGUGUGCUUCAUCAAUGAAAAUUGCCAUCAAAAUCUUCUCUUUAGUCAGGCUGUGUUCCAAGAACUGUCUCUGGACUUGCAAAUAUUAUUAUGUCAGUGUCAGGGUGAAAAAACCAUCACAGUAGCAUGGUUGGAGUUAUUAAGUUUCUUAAACACGAAUGGUGCUAAUUCAAAAGUAAGUGAUUUUCCUGAUCCUGUUGGAGAAAAAAAAGGACAUCCUUUCCUCUGAGGUAACUUACAAUCACUUGUCUUUGAUGAUUCCUGAGGUGAUCAAUUAUGUAACUGCAUUACCUUCCAUACCAACAGUUAUACAUGUAGUUAAGUUAAAUAGAGGGCGUAUAUACUUAAAACACAACAUCAAUCCUUUGUUCCGUUCAGCAGUGUGUCAGAUUCGUGAUGGCUAGCUUGAGGUGGCUAGACUUGCUUUUUGUAUGCAUUACUAGAUUAUUUUUUUAAAUGAAAUAAAUAUAUUCCACGGUCA